CGCCAGCCGGGGUGGAUCGGGGAGGACCGGCCGGGGCAGGGCGCUGACACUGGAGACGCAAAGUGCGCUCCCAGGGCGCCGCCGGGUCGAGAGCCAAGAGGUCACCAUUCGAUGGACAGAGACCUCACGCACCACAGCCAUAUCUACCUGGGACCCUUCAUGAGAGGAAGGAUCCAAACGAACGCUGAUGAACUCCAAACCUUUCCUCCUUGGAAAGAUGGAUCGGGCCUUUUGUGAUGAGGCCUCAGAGGUCACAGGGUGUAACUUCUACCGGAACCACACGUCUGCCCAAGAUCAAGGACGGGAAACCAGUCCCACGCCGCGGGAUAACAAGAGCCCCGUGUCACAGUGAGGUUAUGUGGACGGCGUCCUUGCAGGCAUUUUUGGUAAAUGCAAUCCAUAGUGGGUCUCACCCCGCAUCUGAGGCGCACGCUUAUAACACUAAUACCCUCGAGGGAAGUAGCCUGUUCAAUAUGAGGCGGAAGAAACCGUCGGGUUUUUAACUGGGAGCAGGAAAACUUGGAAGGAGCUCGGGCAACUUGGCUGCAUUUCCUGGUCUCCCCGGAGCCAUCAUCUCCGUCUCUGGAAAAUAUUUACCUUCGGCCGAGGAGGCGGCUCAGUCGUGGACGGGGGUGGUGAGGUCCCCACGUCUCUCUCGGGGGGGAGGACGGAUUUCAGAGGGAGCCGGUCACCCCGCUCGGCAAGGAGCUGCUUGGGCCGUAGGAAACCUAAUGGGACAGAACACAGUCUAAUUUUCUGGGAGAGCCGCACAGCCUCCCUGCGAUUUUGCAUCCAAUGAGAGUUCCCAUCUGGGGCUCCCUCGCGGGCUGUUCGAAACUCCCGUGUAAGAGGCAGCUCUGUACAACCAGGCUCGCCUUGGCACGGGGACGGGCCGCGUCUGGGCAGGUGAGGCUGCCUGCUCGUGAGAUGCUGUCCCGCUGACUUGCCAAGGAGGGAAGGCACCGGCUGCCCCAAACGGGGUCCCGCACGGUCAGCGGAGGGCUCUGCUACAAGGUGAUGCCGGAUUGCUGCAGAGACAGCGAGGUGGCAACAUUAAAUAGAUACAGACUCCCGCCCAGACCCGCCUGGCCAAAAGGAUGACGAUAUUGGGGAUUCUCGUUACUAACACACGGCUUGAGAAAUGACGCACGGCCACCGUGGGACGGAUUGGCUUCCGGACUCACUCUUUCGUGUUCUUUGCUUAGUUCCUUUAUUACCUGUGUUUAUUGUCUAGUAAAUGGUUUGAAAUUAGAAAAAAAAAAAAAAAUCCCGAGAAGGGACAACGUUACAGUAGGAUAAAUCCUUCGAAGCGAAUGUAGAUCAACAAAGUCAACACCGGAGAUUUGCUUUUCCAAACGACACCGGGGCUGAAAUGGGACUUGAACCCCAGCGUCUCCAGACCCAAGGUCAACGUUGCCUCUGCUGCCUCCUGUUGAAUCUGUGAUGAACCCGCGUGCUCAAUUAUCGGUCAGCGGCCUUCCAAAGGUCCUGGGGAAGAUAUCCUGCCACUGAGAUGUCCCCCGGGAUUGGGCAUGAUCACUGAUGCAGAGACUCCUCUCUGUGCCUGCCCCAGGCUCAUGGGAACCAACCCGUAUAUUCACUCCGUCUGGCUCGGUCCAUGACCCUGAGUCCGUCCGUGACCCUGAGUCCAAAUCCACUUGGAGAGAGAUGGAGACAGAAAAGGAGAUAGUGCAAAGUCCUAGAUUCUCAGAACACUGAGGAUCCCCCAGUGGGAUGAGCAGACUCUGAUGUGGUCAAUGCCUCCCUGGGACUUUGCAGCAGGAAUACUGAUGAAGAUGGAAAAUUGCAUGCUUACAGCCACUGGGAAUAUUUUGAGCCAGGCUGCGACGUUUAAACUGAAUGCGAUCUCUAAACAUAGCACAUCGAUGUCCCCAAGCCAAAGCGGCCCAUCUGUAGCAGAAACAGCAACUUCUACUUAAUGACGCUUAAGC